CUUGUCUUGGGAGCACCCUUUGAUUUUACAUCUGUAAGUAAUUACCAGUUCAAGUAAUUGACCUUUAUGAUGUUGUAGCAGUUGAAAUAUCAAGAUUUCUCUAUUUUUGUCUUCCAGUGCGACUUUCCAAACAUACGGAGAUGGUUGGCUCUUAUUCUUCUGGAGAACUUUGGGGUUUUCUCUGAAAGUGCAGAAACCCUACAAGAGUCCCUUCCAUGUGAAGAACAAGCUACGCUUAGCAGCAGUGAGGCGGAGCUCCCAAUAAUCCGGCACAUGAAAGAAGCUGUGAAAUGGCUCCAUUCCAACAGCCAUCUGCUCAGGGGUCCAGUGGAAGAGCCUCUUUUCAUUCGAAUGAACAGUCAGAAGCUUCCAGAGAGCCCUUUCUAUUUUAUUUUGUGUUCAGGGAUGACAUGGAGUUAUUUUUACAAGAAUGUAAGGACAAAAUGGGCCUGAGAGUGAAUUCCUCAUUUGAUACAUUUUAAGUUUAAUUUAUACAGGAUUGUCAUGAUAAAAUGGG